AACGAACGCUGGCGGCAGGCUUAACACAUGCAAGUCGAACGCAUCGCAAGAUGAGUGGCAGACGGGUGAGUAACGCGUGGGAACAUACCCUUUUCUACGGAAUAGCUCUGGGAAACUGGAAUUAAUACCGUAUACGCCCUACGGGGGAACGAGUUAUGGGGGAAGGAUUGGCCCGCGUUGGAUUAGCUGGUUGGUGGGGUAAAGGCCUACCAAGGCGACGAUCCAUAGCUGGUCUGAGAGGAUGAUCAGCCACAUUGGGACUGAGACACGGCCCAAACUCCUACGGGAGGCAGCAGUGGGGAAUAUUGGACAAUGGGCGCAAGCCUGAUCCAGCCAUGCCGCGUGAGUGAUGAAGGCCUUAGGGUUGUAAAGCUCUUUCACCGAUGAAGAUAAUGACGGUAGUCGGAGAAGAAGCCCCAGCUAACUUCGUGCCAUCCGCCGCUGUAAUAC
rnacentral:rRNA from 1 species